CUGGCUCACCUUGAUGGAGAAGACCAGGGCGGCCAGGCCGAGGCAGCAGAAGUUGCCGUAGAAGAAGGUGAACAGGGACCAGACCAGGUUGGCAGAAGCUGGAGCUAACAGCCGGCGCUCACUCCACUCCCCGAAUUUGAACCUGGGACCUUACGUUUUGCAAGUUCAGCAGUUCAGCGCUUUAACACACUGUGCCACCUAAGGCUCCAGUGUUAAUUUUUAAAUUAGCUACGCUGUAUAGAAAGGAAAUGAUUCUGCACCUUCCUCUCAAUUCUGUGAAGAUACAAUGUUCCGGUACAAAAGGGAUUGCCUGGAAAAACAAACACAUGUUGAAAAACAAGCUUUAUCAGCUGGCUCUGGCUCAGUUACAGUUAAUGGUUUCAUAACCAAAUCUUGUCCAUCAUUGUCAGGAAGCCUGGAAGGCUCUCACUGACUUACAGAACAAGAAUGUGCAGAAUAAUAUUGAUCUAAUUCUUUUUCUCAGGUUUGUAAGGAAGGAAAGUGUUUGAUGGGAGCCAUGUGCAUUGUGUCCUGGACAGUAUCUUCUCCUCUUGUGUUGAACUUGUGUUGUGCUGGUUUCUAUUGUAUAGUCUGGUAUAGUGUUCACAUACACAGAAAAAAAGUCUUUUAGUCCAAAAGGCAGCUCCCAUCCCCCAAUCUGUAUGAAAGAAAACUAUUUGGAUUGAAGUGUACUCCCUUCAGUACCUUCUCCAUUCCCCAUAGGUUAUAUUUUCGAUUUGUGUUGUUGAAGGCUUUCAUAACCAGAAUCACUGCAUUAUUGUGAGUUUUCUGGGCUGUAUGGCCAUGUUCUAGAAGCAUUCUCUCCUGAUGUUUCACCCACAUCUAUGGCAGGCAUCCUCAGAGCUUGAGGGGUAUGUUGGAAACUCAGUUUCCUUCCAUCCUCAACCUCUGAGGAUGCCUGCCAUAGAUGUGGGUGAAACGUCAAGAAAGAAUGCUUCUAGAACAUGGCCGUAUAAUCUGGAAAACUCACAACAACCCAUAUUUUGGAUUGAUUCAUAUUAUAUAUUAUUCCACAAUAUACAGUUAUACAUGUGAACCAAGUUGCAAUUAGCCCAUUUGCAGUUCUUUAGUGUAUUAGGCUGUUCAAUAAUUAAGUGAUUUUUUCCUAAAGCCUUUAACAUUUUUUCUCUUUUGCCUUUCAUUUUGUUACAGAAAAUUUUUGAAUUUAAAAAAAACUCCAUCAAAAUUUAGGAAAUCAUUCAGCCUUUAAUUUUAGCAUGCUGCAGAAUGGAGAAAAUAAGCCCUUGAAAAAGUUUAUAAGGUGCCUUUUUUCUAAACUACAGCAAUAUGAACAGGAAUUUAUAACCUUGUAUAUUUACAUAAAUGCUCUGUUGAUUGGCUACAGCAAAUAGCAUUAUAAGACAACCUUAUUAUGCAUAUUCAUAAAUAAUUCAGAUAAAUUAAAGCUUGUACAACAGUUGCACCUGUACUUUGGGAAGUCUGACUUGGCCAUGGUAGUCCACGCUCUGGUUACAUCCUGUAUAGACUACUGCAAUGCGCUCUAUGUAGGGUUGCCUUUGAAGACUGUCCAGAAGUUUCAAUUGGUCCAAUGGGCAACAGCCAGAUUGCUCACUGGAGCGGGGUACAAGGAGCACACAACCCCCCUGUUAUGCCAGUUCCACUGGCUGCCAGUCUGCUUCCAAUCUCAAUUCAAAGUGCUGGUUUUAGCCUAUAAAGCCCUAAACAGUUCAAACCCAGCUUACCUGUCUGGACAUAUCUCCCUCUAUGAACCACCUCGGAGGUUAAGAUCAUCCAGAGAGGCUUUGCUCUCGGUCCCACCUCCUUCAUAGGCACGACUGGUGGGAACGAGAGACAGGGCCUUCUCAGUGGUGGCUCCUCGACUGUGGAACUCCCUCCCCAAUGAAAUUAGAUCAGCACACUCCCUUCUGGCCAUCAGAAGAAAGGUAGAAACUUGGCUAUGGGACCAGGCCUUCAGACAAUAAGCAAAAGGAAUGAUCAGAGAUUAUGUGCAAUAGAUUGAUAUUGGAAUGGCCCUGGACUUUGAUUUUUUGGACUAUGUGAUUUUAAUGUUUAAAUUAUUAUGCUUUUAACUCUAUGCUUUAAUGUUAAUGUAAUUGUGUUUUUUAUUAUUCAAUCGAUAGUUGUAUUUUAUUAUUGUUGGGUAGGCAUUUAACUGGAGCCCCCGAUGGUGCAGCUGAUUAAACCGCUGAGCUGCUGAACUUGCUGACCAUAAGGUCGGUGGUUUGGAGAGUGGGGUGAGCUCCCGCUGUUAGCCCCAACUUCUGCCAAGAUCAAUAGAUACCACUCCAGUGGGAAGGUAAUGGCGCUCCAUGCAGUCCUUUGAAGACUCCAUGCAACGGACGCUUCACAUGACCUUGGAGGCGUCUACAUACACACAAUGACGGCUCUUUGGCUUAGAAAUGGAGAUGAGCAUCCACCCCCAGAGUCCGAUACGACUAGACUUAAUGUUGGGGGAAAACCUUUAUCUUUACCUAGGCAUUGAAUUUUGUCAUAAUAUGUUUGGAAACCACUUUGAGUCCCCCAUCCAGAGUGAGAAAAGCAGCAUACAACUGAAGUUAAUACUACUACUACUACUACUACUACUACUACUAAUAAUAAUAAUAAUAAUAAAAGAUAACAAGAAUUUAACAUAGAAGUAGCUAUGAAUAUUUGUAUGUAAUGAAGACCCUUUUUAAUGUUGGUUUGUAGGAGGCAGAAGUCUUUUUCUGUUUGCAUUAGGCAGUGUGAAAGGAAUGUCUUAUCAGACACUUUUCAGGCUCCUUGUUCAUUAACUCUGUGCUUUCCUAACUGCCUUGACUGAGUAAGAAAACAGUUUCCCCCCCUCUUUGCUUUCUUUACAAAAUGGGGAUAGCAUGGAUCAUCAAAUCUCACCCUCUUUGUAGCAAACAGAAAUGUAAAGUCACAGUGCUAUCACCUCUUCCUCUCCUUUCUCACUCCACUGUAAUUGUACAAGGCCCCAUCUACACUGCAUAUAAUGCAGUAUCUGAAAUGUAAUUGUACUGCAUUCUGAAACUACAUUAUAUGGCAGUGUAGGCUCAUAUUAUCCAAUGCAGUGAAACUGCAUUCCGAAACUGCGUUAUAUGGUUGUGUAGAUGGGGCCUAAGAUAGGUGCAGAGAAGAAUUGCCUUGUUAGAUACCUGGUAAUUAAAACAGCAGAUUCCAGAUAUUGUAUUUGGGAUUCCUUGGUUCCUGUGUGUAAUUUGCUUUACUUCCUAAAUUGUAUUUGGUAUCUAUUAGAAGUGGUGAGAAUAAAAGAGAGAUGCUGAUGAUUUGA